UAGAGACGUUGGUGCGAUCUCCAAUGGGUGAUUUAUACAUGAAUGGCGCGAGUGUGAAGUUUCUGUGUGGGGUGAUGUAAGGUAAUAUGCUGUAUAUACUGUAGGUAUACCUACUUCGUGAGUCCCGGACAAAAAUCUAGCAAUAGCAUCCCUAAGGUGCGUACAUCAUAAAAAUAUAGUUUUUAAUUGGAAAACGUUCCGAGACCCGCUAACGGGCCUCAGAACGUCGCAUCGGGUCUCGGAUAGUCGAUGUCACUUCCAAAAACGGGCCUGUAUAACCUGUAGCAAACCUAUACUUCUAUAAACAGCAAUUUUUCACAUGCCUACUUCGUUUUUUUGGUAUCAUUUUAAUGUUUUUAAACGUGUAUUUAUGUUGGUGAAAUGCCUGUUUUUGAUAGAAAAAUUGUGUCAUGCAUUGCCUUAUAUGUAUAUUAACAGUUGAAAAUAAUAAAAUGUCGUGAAUUUUUUAAUUCGUCAUUUGUCAUUUGAUACAUUAUGUUGUCAUUGGAGUACCUUUACCUUUUAUGUCGGGGUAAGCUCUUUAUUGUCAGGAAUUUACAAUUUAGUCGUGGUAACGAUUUUUCUGGCGUGAAAGUGCCUAUGCUUGUCGUGCUGACGCCCUUUUUUGUCGUGGUAUUAAAUCACACCCUUUGUUUUUCUUAGCUUGAAUAAUGCUUUGAGAGAGUAUGUUGAAUUCAUCGGUACCAUACUAAUCCUUGGAUGUUUUUGCUAUAGCAUCGCUGUACUGUAUGUCACAGCUUCAAAUGAUAUGCCUUGGGCACUGACAAUGAAAUGUAUAUUUGGGUAUAUGGGCCCUUGUAACUUGGUAUUUCUACUCUACUGGAUUGGACAACACUUGGAUAACUCGGUAUCUGAUGUAACUCUCGCAGUCUAUAAUGCUCCGUGGUAUCGAUCAGUGAAAAUACGAAAGAUGGUACAUAUCUUCAUGUGUCAAACACAAAAUGUGCGGCUUUUUGCUGUACUCAGCGUGUACGAAUUGCUGUUGAGUAAUUUUUCGCGGUAUUUACGUGGUGUGGUAUCUUCCACGAACAUCCUGCUCCAACUCGCCAGAAAGUGAUUUCUCAAGUCAAAUUAAAUAUUAAGUACCUACCUGUUUUAUAAUGUCAAUGUCAUGGUUAUUGCAUCAA